rnacentral:rRNA from 1 species
UUAAGGAAUUGACGGGGAGCACCACAACGGGUGGAGCUUGCGGUUUAAUUGGAUUCAACGCCGGAAAUCUUACCGGGACCGACAGCAAUAUGAAGGCCAGGCUGAAGACUUUGCCGGAUUAGCUGAGAGGUGGUGCAUGGCCGUCGUCAGUUCGUACUGUGAAGCAUCCUGUUAAGUCAGGCAACGAGCGAGACCCACGCCCACAGUUGCCAGCGUACUCUCCGGAGUGACGGGUACACUGUGGGGACCGCCGCUGCUAAAGCGGAGGAAGGAAUGGGCAACGGUAGGUCAGUAUGCCCCGAAUAUCCCGGGCUACACGCGAGCUACAAUGGUUGGUACAAUGGGUAUCUACCCCGAAAGGGGACGGGAAUCUCCUAAAACCAAUCUUAGUUCGGAUUGAGGGCUGCAACUCGCCCUCAUGAAGCUGGAAUCCGUAGUAAUCGCGUUUCAACAGAACGCGGUGAAUACGUCCCUGCUCCUU